AGGACGAACGCUGGCGGCGUGCCUAAUACAUGCAAGUCGAACGCAAAACUUUCACCGAAUGCUUGCAUUCACGAAAGUUUUGAGUGGCGAACGGGUGAGUAACACGUGGGUAACCUGCCCAGAAGAGGGGGAUAACACUUGGAAACAGGUGCUAAUACCGCAUAAUAACAAAAACCGCAUGGUUUUUGUUUGAAAGAUGGUUUUGCUAUCACUUCUGGAUGGACCCGCGGCGUAUUAGCUAGUUGGUAAGGUAAAGGCUUACCAAGGCAAUGAUACGUAGCCGAACUGAGAGGUUGAUCGGCCACAUUGGGACUGAGACACGGCCCAAACUCCUACGGGAGGCAGCAGUAGGGAAUCUUCCACAAUGGACGAAAGUCUGAUGGAGCAACGCCGCGUGAGUGAAGAAGGUUUUCGGAUCGUAAAACUCUGUUGUUAGAGAAGAACGUGUGUGAGAGUAACUGUUCAUGCAGUGACGGUAUCUAACCAGAAAGCCACGGCUAACUACGUGCCAGCAGCCGCGGUAAUACGUAGGUGGCAAGCGUUGUCCGGAUUUAUUGGGCGUAAAGGGAACGCAGGCGGUUUUUUAAGUCUGAUGUGAAAGCCUUCGGCUUAACCGAAGUCAUGCAUUGGAAACUGAAAGAC
rnacentral:rRNA from 2 species